UACUUGAAGUCGGAGCAGACUGGCAGGG
rnacentral:sRNA from 1 species